rnacentral:tRNA from 1 species
UCCCUGGUGGUUCAGUGGUUAAGACUCUGUGCUUCCAAUGCAGGGAAUGCAGGUUUGAUCCCUGACCAGGAAA